AUUGAACGCUGGCGGAAUGCUUUACACAUGCAAGUCGAACGGCAGCACGGGGCAACCUGGUGGCGAGUGGCGAACGGGUGAGUAAUAUAUCGGAACGUGCCCAAUCGUGGGGGAUAACGUAGCGAAAGUUACGCUAAUACCGCAUACGAUCUACGGAUGAAAGCGGGGGAUCGCAAGACCUCGCGCGAAUGGAGCGGCCGAUAUCAGAUUAGGUAGUUGGUGGGGUAAAGGCUCACCAAGCCAACGAUCUGUAGCUGGUCUGAGAGGACGACCAGCCACACUGGAACUGAGACACGGUCCAGACUCCUACGGGAGGCAGCAGUGGGAAUUUUGGACAAUGGGCGCAAGCCUGAUCCAGCCAUUCCGCGUGCAGGAUGAA
rnacentral:rRNA from 1 species